rnacentral:tRNA from 1 species
GGUCUGGUAGUGUAGCGGUUAACACGCCUGCCUGUCACGCAGGAGAUCGCGGGUUCGAUUCCCGUCGAGACCGCCA